AGAACGAACGCUGGCGGCAGGCUUAACACAUGCAAGUCGAGCGCCCCGCAAGGGGAGCGGCAGACGGGUGAGUAACGCGUGGGAACAUACCCUCCGGUUCGGAAUAGCUCAGGGGAAACUUGGAUUAAUACCGGAUACGGCCUAGCGGCGAAAGAUUCAUCGCCGGAGGAUUGGCCCGCGUCUGAUUAGCUAGUUGGUGGGGUAAUGGCCCACCAAGGCGACGAUCAGUAGCUGGUCUGAGAGGAUGAUCAGCCACAUUGGGACUGAGACACGGCCCAAACUCCUACGGGAGGCAGCAGUGGGGAAUAUUGGACAAUGGGCGCAAGCCUGAUCCAGCCAUGCCGCGUGAGUGAUGACGGCCUUAGGGUUGUAAAGCUCUUUCGCUAGGGACGAUAAUGACGGUACCUAGACAAGAAGCCCCGGCUAACUUCGCGCCAGCAGCCGC
rnacentral:rRNA from 1 species